rnacentral:rRNA from 1 species
UACGGGGGGGCAAGGCGUUGUUCGGAAUUACUGGGCGUAAAGGGCUCGUAGGCGGCCAACUAAGUCGGAUGUGAAAUCCCCAGGCUUAACCUGGGAACUGCAUCCGAUACUGGAUGGCUUGAAUCCGGGAGAGGGAUGCAGAAUUCCAGGUGUAGCGGUGAAAGUGCGCAGAUAUCAGGAGGAACACCGGUGGCGAAGGCGGGUCUCCUGGGCCGAUGACUGACGCUGGAGGAGCGAAAGCGUGGGGAGCGAACAGGA